GAGGAGGAGCCCGGAGAUGGGCACUGAGACAAGGGCCCAGGCCCUAUGGGGCGCAGCAGGCGCGAAACCUCUGCAAUAGGCGAAAGCUUGACAGGGUUACUCUGAGUGAUUUCCGUUAAGGAGAUCUUUUGGCACCUCUAAAAAUGGUGCAGAAUAAGGGGUGGGCAAGUCUGGUGUCAGCCGCCGCGGUAAUACCAGCACCCCGAGUGGUCGGGACGUUUAUUGGGCCUAAAGCAUCCGUAGCCGGUUCCACAAGUCUUCCGUUAAAUCCACCUGCUCAACAGAUGGGCUGCGGAAGAUACUAUGGAGCUAGGAGGCGGGAGAGGCAAGCGGUACUCGAUGGGUAGGGGUAAAAUCCGUUGAUCCAUUGAAGACCACCAGUGGCGAAGGCGGCUUGCCAGAACGCGCUCGACGGUGAGGGAUGAAAGCUGGGGGAGCAAACCGGAUUAGAUACCCGGGUAGUCCCAGCUGUAAACGAUGCAGACUCGGUGAUGAGUUGGCUUUAUGCCAACUCAGUGCCGCAGGGAAGCCGUUAAGUUUGCCGCCUGGGGAGUACGGUCGCAAGACUGGAACUUAA
rnacentral:rRNA from 1 species